UUAAACUGAAGAGUUUGAUCAUGGCUCAGAUUGAACGUUGGCGGCACGCUUUAGACAUGCAAGUCGAACGAGAAAGCACUUCGGUGUGAGUACAGUGGCGGACGGGUGAGUAACGCGUAGGAAUCUACCUAGUAGUGGGGGACAACUCGGGGAAACUCGAGCUAAUACCGCAUACGCUCUUAGGAGGAAAGUGGGGGAUCUUCGGACCUCACGCUAUUAGAGGAGCCU
rnacentral:rRNA from 1 species